GAUGAACGCUGGCGGCGUGCCUAAUACAUGCAAGUCGAGCGAACGGACGAGAAGCUUGCUUCUCUGAUGUUAGCGGCGGACGGGUGAGUAACACGUGGAUAACCUACCUAUAAGACUGGGAUAACUUCGGGAAACCGGAGCUAAUACCGGAUAAUAUUUUGAACCGCAUGGUUCAAAAGUAAAAGACGGUCUUGCUGUCACUUAUAGAUGGAUCCGCGCUGCAUUAGCUAGUUGGUAAGGUAACGGCUUACCAAGGCAACGAUGCAUAGCCGACCUGAGAGGGUGAUCGGCCACACUGGAACUGAGACACGGUCCAGACUCCUACGGGAGGCAGCAGUAGGGAAUCUUCCGCAAUGGGCGAAAGCCUGACGGAGCAACGCCGCGUGAGUGAUGAAGGUCUUCGGAUCGUAAAACUCUGUUAUUAGGGAAGAACAUAUGUGUAAGUAACUGUGCACAUCUUGACGGUACCUAAUCAGAAAGCCACGGCUAACUACGUGCCAGCAGCCGCGGUAAUACGUANGUGGCAAGCGUUAUCCGGAAUUAUUGGGCGUAAAGCGCGCGUAGCGGUUUUUUAGUCUGAUGUGAAAGCCCACGGCUCAACCGUGGAGGGUCAUUGGAAACUGGAAAACUUGAGUGCAGAAGAGGAAAGUGGAAUUCCAUGUGUAGCGGUGAAAUGCGCAGAGAUAUGGAGGAACACCAGUGGCGAAGGCGACUUUCUGGUCUGUAACUGACGCUGAUGUGCGAAAGCGUGGGGAUCAAACAGGAUUAGAUACCCUGGUAGUCCACGCCGUAAACGAUGAGUGCUAAGUGUUAGGGGGUUUCCGCCCCUUAGUGCUGCAGCUAACGCAUUAAGCACUCCGCCUGGGGAGUACGACCGCAAGGUUGAAACUCAAAGGAAUUGACGGGGACCCGCACAAGCGGUGGAGCAUGUGGUUUAAUUCGAAGCAACGCGAAGAACCUUACCAAAGCUUGACAUCCUUUGACAACUCUAGAGAUAGAGCCUUCCCCUUCGGGGGACAAAGUGACAGGUGGUGCAUGGUUGUCGUCAGCUCGUGUCGUGAGAUGUUGGGUUAAGUCCCGCAACGAGCGCAACCCUUAAGCUUAGUUGCCAUCAUUAAGUUGGGCACUCUAAGUUGACUGCCGGUGACAAACCGGAGGAAGGUGGGGAUGACGUCAAAUCAUCAUGCCCCUUAUGAUUUGGGCUACACACGUGCUACAAUGGACAAUACAAAGGGCAGCGAAACCGCGAGGUCAAGCAAAUCCCAUAAAGUUGUUCUCAGUUCGGAUUGUAGUCUGCAACUCGACUACAUGAAGCUGGAAUCGCUAGUAAUCGUAGAUCAGCAUGCUACGGUGAAUACGUUCCCGGGUCU
rnacentral:rRNA from 1 species